rnacentral:rRNA from 1 species
UAACCUGCCUCAUACAGGGGGAUAACAGCUAGAAAUGACUGCUAAUACCGCAUAAGCGCACAGAGAUGCAUGUCUCGGUGUGAAAAGCUGAGGCGGUAUGAGAUGGAUCCGCGUCUGAUUAGCUGGUUGGCGGGGUAGAGGCCCACCAAGGCGACGAUCAGUAGCCGACCUGAGAGGGUGGCCGGCCACAUUGGGACUGAGACACGGCCCAAACUCCUACGGAAGGCAGCAG